rnacentral:misc_RNA from 1 species
GGAAAAUUGGACCAUUGCAAAUGUUGGCAACUUGAACUGGAAACCCACAAUGCUUUGCCAAGGGUAACAGUAAGUUGAAGGAUGAGAAACAUGAGCCUGCAUCCUUCAGAUGCUAAAAUCUUACAAUUGUUCCACACAAAAAUCCCAGAGAUGCAGGUACAAGAGCCAAGUUAUCACAACCUAGUACACAUCUAGGUUAAUGAUAAUACUUAUGAUACAACUAAGUUAGCAUACAUAAACAAAUGUAUCUCUUGUGAGGAAUGAGAUAUCUAAA